UACAGGGGGUGCAAACGUUGCUCGGAAUCAUUGGGCGUAAAGCGCACGCAGGCGGUCUGUUAUGUCGGAUGUGAAAGCCCUCGGCUCAACUGAGGAAGUGCAUCCGAAACUGGCAGGCUAGAGUACUAAAGAGGGUCGCGGAAUUCCCGGUGUAGAGGUGAAAUUCGUAGAUAUCGGGAGGAACACCGGUGGCGAAGGCGGCAUCCUGGACCGAUAUUGACGCUGAUGCGCGAAAGCCAGGGGAGCAAACGGG
rnacentral:rRNA from 1 species